AGUAAGAGUGACACAUAUCCACCCAGGGCAGUGCAUGCAAGGCACAGAUAGGGAUCAGAGAGGGGAAAUUAGGGCAGCCACUAGUCUACUCAGGGAACCGGGCUCCAGUAAUCUAGCUUUGGUGGAGACAUUCCCAGCUAUCACUACCAAUAUUCAUUAUGUCCGACAGUGCAAAAGAAGGCCCAGCGGAAACUGUGGCUGAGGUAAAAUCUAAAGAGAGCCCAUGCGCUGAACUCAAGAUUGCCAUGGAGAAAUGUGUGGCUAAGAAAGGAGAAGACAGCUGCCGUGAAUUAAUUCAAGCCUAUAAAGAAUGUGUGAAAUCUCUUGGAUCACAGAACUAAUGUCUGGCCAGGUGAGCGAGUGCUGAGGGGCACGUGUCUUGAGUUCUUUCGCCUCCCCAUCAUUCUCUCCUCGACAAAUCCAACCAUUCCACUAGGAGGAACAGAUGGGGUAGUCUUACUGUACAUGAUAGAUGUGAUAGAUGCUGUUGGAUGUGGUUUCUGCUGCUUGUCACGUAAGGAUCUACAUUGUACCAACUGUGUGCCCUCCUGUCACAGGAGAAAGUCUUGUAUCAGAUAAUGCUAAGCAGAGUGGAAUAAAACUUUCUAUAUUUUA